GCUUGGUAAGUUGGCCAUAAUCUUUUCAGUUAACCCGAAUUGAGGGAGCUUCAUUUUUUAUUUUUCACUUGCGAAGAACCAGAAAGCGAUUUGGCAACAAAUAUGAGGAAGAAGAAGGUUUUGGUUGUGGGUGGCACAGGUUACUUAGGUCAGCAUCUUCUAUCAGGAUUUUCCGAGAUCGAUGGAGUUCCAUAUGAUAUCGCGUUCACUUAUCACUCCUUUGCGCCUGAGGCUUUGUUGGGAGCUCUUCCUCAUCUGCUUUCAUUUCAAGUUGAUUUAAAAUCUGGUCAAGGAUUCGAUACCAUUACUGAGAAUUUUGGCCAGCCAGAUAUUGUUGUUAAUUGUGCUGCUAUCUCUGUCCCUCGUGCCUGCGAAGUAGACCCCGUCUCUGCAUUUUCUGUCAACGUGCCUACUGCCAUUGGAACUUGGCUUCUCAGUUUUGAAGGGAGGAAUACCCUAUUCAUUCAUCUAUCAACUGAUCAAGUUUAUGAAGGCGUGGAAUCAUUUUAUAAUGAAGAAGAUGAAACCAUUCCUGUGAAUGUUUAUGGCAAGUCAAAGCUAGCAGCUGAGCAGUAUGUUUCUGAGAAAUUUUCUAACUUUGCAAUCUUGAGAUCCAGUAUCAUUUUUGGUCCUCAGACCAUCUCACCUGUUCCUAAAUCUCUUCCUGUUCAGUGGAUCGAUGCUACCUUGUCUGAAGGAAAUGAAGUUGAAUUCUUUCAUGAUGAGUUUCGAUGUCCUGUGUAUGUCAAGGAUGUCGUGAAUGUCAUCAUAACAUUGAUUAAGACAUGGAUAUCAGAGGGCAAGCAAAUGCAAUUGCUAUUAAAUGUUGGUGGACCAAAUCGUGUAUCGCGUGUUGAAAUGGCUGAGACUGUUGCAGAAAUUAGAGGGCACAAGAAAUCAUUGAUCAAAAGAGUGUCUGCAUCAUCAAGCGCCCAAAAUGACUAUAUGGCUAACCGCCGACCGGUAGAGCAAGUGGGCAAUGGCCAAAAACAAGAGGUGGAAGCAAUCCCCCUCCUCUCUCCAAGAACUACUUCAUGACGGUUGCUGUCUGUUGAAGCUUCAGUGGAGAGAACUGUGAGAGCACUUGUGGAAGUUUUACAAAGGUUAGAUGCAGCAGCUCCCUUCAAGAAAUCCAUGAAGAAUGACCAACAAUGGUUCAACAUUGGGGUCAACGUGGUAUUUUCGCAGAGCUGGACAACAAAGAUUGGGAUUGAUUCAUCAAGAAGGAAGAUUCAAAGUUCAAGAUCAUAGAAGACCCAAUCAAGAAUACCAAGAACCAACUCCAAGAUUUCAAGAUUGCAACCUAGAAUUCCAAGCUUGGAGUUCUUCAAAUGAUGAGGAAUAAGAAGGAAAAAACGAAGGCUAUGGGAGAAGGAACCUAGCUCAUUGUGGAGAAAAAAGAGGUGAACCCAUUGAAUAUAAGAUGAAUCGACUUACCAAGCUAUGAUGGCAAGAGGAACAUUGAGAUUUUAAUGGAUUAGCUAAAGAAUACUGAUUUUUUUUAACUAUAUGAAUCCUCCCGAAAGAAAGAAGGUCCACUUGGUGGCAUUAAAACUUAAAGCUAGUGCUUCAGCAUGGUGGGAGCAAGUAGAAGUGAAGCGAAGAAGAAAUGUUAAAAGACCUAUCCUUGCUUGGGAGAAAAUGAAGACACUGAUGAAAGCAAGAUUUCUCCCCCCUAACUAUGAGCAAGCACUUCAUAAUCAAUGCCAAAGCGGUUGACAGGGAGUUUGAGCUAUGGCUGAUUAUAUUGAAGAAUUCCACCGUUUGGGAGCUCGUGCAAAUCUAAUGGAGAAUGAACAACAUUUGAUUGCUUGUUUUAUUGGUGGUCUAUGAUUUGACAUCCCAUUUCUGACUUUAUCUGAAGCCAUUACUUAUGCAGAAUUAGUAAAAGAAUUGGUUGAGGCUAACUCAAAGAAAACUUCUAGGCGAAAUCCAUGGGACAACUCAAGUAGUAGAAGAUCAACAACAACAAAUAGUAAUACUCGUCAUCCUCAAUCUUUGAAAGAUAGAGAAGGAGAAGACCCUUGAUCAAAAUGGGAAAAAGUCAGAAACUACAUCUAAGAAGCCAGUAGAGAACCCCUAUCAACAACCCAAUUUAAGCAAGUGGUUUAGAUGUGGGCAAACUAGUCAUCUCUCCAAUGCUUGUUUUUAACGAAGAACCAUAGCCUUUAUGAGCGAAGAGGAAGAUUUGAAUAGAGAUCAAGAAGCUGUCUUUGAACAAGAAAAGAGAUUUUGGAACCUGAUGAUGGGGAGAGACUUUCUUGCAUCCUCCAAAGAGUCAUGAUAGGACCUAGAGGAGAUACUUAUCACCAACAAGGGCAUAGCUUAUUCAAAACCAGAUCGAUCGAGGUGUAAAAUCCCCAGCAGACAUUUCAAUGAACAUUGGUAAACUGAUCCAGAUACUUGCCAUGUCUCCUGUUUCAUUCACCGACGGUGUCAGAUUGACACUUUGCAGCUGAGAUUACAGAGUGAUUUACAUUGGAAACUGUAAUGACUAAUGCUUCGCUGCUGGUUUAUUUUUAAGGCUCAAUGACUCAAAUUUGGUUUCUAAAGUCUGCAAACUGCUUCAAAAUGCUGCAAAUUUAUUUCAUUUUCUUGGGUUUACAUAAUGGUUUGCAUCUUUUUUCGUUUUCCAAUCAUCAACAAUUUUUCGUUUUCUUUUUCUUGGAACUUCUAUGAAAUUCUGUUCUUCAUCAUUAUCAUCUUAGAACUUUUUUUGUUGAAAGCCCAAGACCUUUCUUUAGUAACUUCUUUCAU